UUGAGUUGAAGAGUUCAAGGAGAGUAAAGGUACUCUGAGAUGGGUUUUGUGAGUACGAUUUUGGGUUUUUGUGGAUUUGGAGUUGGGGUUUCAUGUGGAUUGACGAUCGGUUACUAUCUCUUCAUCUAUUUCCAACCCUGUGAUGUUAAGGACCCUGUUAUUCGUCCAUUGGUUGAGCGAGAUUCUAAAAGCUUGCAGCAGUUGCUGUCUGAAAUUCCUCUCUGGGUCAAAUGUCCAGAUUAUGACCGUGUGGACUGGCUCAACAAAUUUAUCGAGUAUAUGUGGCCUUACCUGGACAAGGCAAUUUGCAGGACUGCAAAAGAUAUUGCGGCACCAAUUAUUGCUGAACAAAUACCGAAGUAUAAAAUUGAUUCUGUUGAAUUUGAGACACUAACUUUGGGGUCCUUACCCCCUACUUUCCAGGGGAUGAAGGUCUAUGUUACUGAAGAAAAAGAAUUGAUCAUGGAACCAUCAAUAAAGUGGGCUGGAAAUCCUAAUGUUACCGUUGCGGUCAAAGCAUUCGGAUUGAAAGCAACUGUUCAGGUUGUGGACUUGCAGGUUUUUGCAGCUCCACGUAUUACUCUGAAGCCUCUGGUUCCAAGCUUUCCAUGUUUUGCCAAUAUCUUUGUGUCCCUCAUGGAAAAGCCACAUGUUGACUUUGGAUUGAAGCUUUUGGGGGCUGAUCUUAUGUCCAUCCCUGGCUUGUACAGGUUUGUCCAGGAGACUAUUAAAGAUCAGGUUGCUAACAUGUAUCUUUGGCCUAAAUCUCUAGAAGUGCAGAUAUUGGAUCCAUCCAAAGCAAUGAAAAAACCUGUUGGGGUCCUGCAUGUGAAGAUUCUGAGGGCUAUGAAUCUGAAAAAGAAAGAUCUACUGGGUGCAUCUGAUCCUUACGUAAAACUUAAGCUCACUGAGUCAAAACUUCCUUCAAAGAAAACCCCUGUAAGGCAUAAGAAUUUAAACCCAGAGUGGAAUGAGGAAUUUAAUAUGGUUGUUAAAGAUCCAGAAUCGCAAGCAUUGGAGCUUUCUGUUUAUGAUUGGGAGCAGAUUGGCAAGCAUGAUAAGAUGGGCAUGAACGUUAUUCCACUGAAAGAUUUGACUCCUGAUGAAACAAAAACGAUGACACUGAGUCUCCUAAAGAACAUGGAUGCGAAUGAUUCUCAAAAUGAUAAGGACCGUGGUCAGAUCAUGGUGGAAUUAACCUACAAACCAUUUAAGGAGGAUGAGUUGCCAAAAGAUUUUGAAGAUAAUGAUGCAGCACAUAAGGUUCCAGAAGGAACACCACCAGGGGGAGGCGUCCUUAUGAUUAUUGUC
rnacentral:misc_RNA from 1 species